rnacentral:rRNA from 1 species
AUGUACCAGAAUUUCCAUAAGCUACACAAGGGGGAACAGUUGAAGAACAAUCUUUGGGCAAUUGCAAGAGCCACAAACAAUCCUACAUACAUGAAAGCUAUGGAAAAGAUGUUGGCCGACAGUGUGGGUGCAUACAAAUGGGUAGAGAAAUGGCCUCCAAAGACAUGGAUUAAAGCCUUUUUAACCCUUUUCCAAAAUGUGACAUUCUACUGA